CGGACGGGUGAGUAAUGUCUGGGAAACUGCCUGAUGGAGGGGGAUAACUACUGGAAACGGUAGCUAAUACCGCAUAACGUCGCAAGACCAAAGAGGGGGACCUUCGGGCCUCUUGCCAUCGGAUGUGCCCAGAUGGGAUUAGCUAGUAGGUGGGGUAACGGCUCACCUAGGCGACGAUCCCUAGCUGGUCUGAGGGGAUGGCCAGCCACACUGGAACUGAGACACGGUCCAG
rnacentral:rRNA from 1 species